rnacentral:rRNA from 1 species
GACGAACGCUGGCGGCGCGCUUAACACAUGCAAGUCGAACGGUGAACCGGGCUUCAGCCCGGGGAUCAGUGGCGAACGGGUGCGUAACACGUGGGCAACCUGCCCCUCACUCUGGGAUAACCCCGGGAAACCGGAGCUAAUACCGGAUACUCCGGCUGGAUCGCAUGGUCCGGUCGGGAAAGGUCCGCCGGUGAGGGAUGGGCCCGCGGCCUAUCAGCUUGUUGGUGAGGUCACGGCUCACCAAGGCGACGACGGGUAGCUGGUCUGAGAGGACGACCAGCCAGACUGGGACUGAGAUACGGCCCAGACUCGUACGGGAGGCAGCAGUGGGGAAUCUUGCGCAAUGGGCGAAAGCCUGACGCAGCGACGCCGCGUGGGGGACGAAGGCCCUCGGGUUGUAAACCCCUUUCGGCAGGGACGAAGCGAUCGUGACGGUACCUGCAGAAGAAGCCUCGGCUAACUACGUGCCAGCAGCCGCUGUAACAC